UACGAAGGGGGCUAGCGUUGCUCGGAAUCACUGGGCGUAAAGGGUGCGUAGGUGGCGCCGUAAGUCAGGUGUGAAAUUUCGGAGCUUAACUCCGAAACUGCAUUUGAUACUGCGGUGCUUGAGGACUGGAGAGGAGACUGGAAUUCACGGUGUAGCAGUGAAAUGCGUAGAUAUCGUGAGGAAGACCAGUGGCGAAGGCGGGUCUCUGGACAGUUCCUGACACUGAGGCACGAAGGCCAGGGGAGCAAACGGG
rnacentral:rRNA from 1 species